AUAAUAAAAAAAAAAACCUAGGUUUUCUUCUCUGGGUUUUCUUCUCUACAAACCCAGGUUUUCAUCUGAAGAAAACGUUCUAUGUGCAGAUGAGAUCGUCCAGGCUUCAAACAAACCUUUCUAAUGGUUUUCUUCUAAAACCCUGUUUUUUUCAUUCUUUCUUCUGCGUUCUCUCAAUUGAUUUCUUUUAGUCUUAUUACAGGCUCUGCUACGCCCUACAAUAACAAAAACAAAGAAAAACCUAAGAAGAAACCCUAAACCACAAGCUUUUCUUUUUCGGCUGCUCUUCUUCUCUUUGUUUAUGCUUCUCUCGGGUUUUUUCCGGGUCUUCUCUUCUGAAACUAUAUUAGUCUUUCUUCUUUUUUUGAUAUUCCAGGUGAUAGUACAUUAAUAAGAUUCAGAUUCUUACUCCAAAGGUAAGGUUUUACUUUUUACAGCUAGGGUUUUUGAUUUAAAUGAAGAGAAGAUUUGUACUGCUAACUUAUAGUAAAGGAAUAAUUAUGAGACAGAUACCACCAUAUAAUUUUUAAUUCUACCCGUUGAUUUCUUUGUCUUUUGAUUUCGGGGUUUUAAUCCGAUAUAAAUUUUUUUUUCAGUAUCUUAUUUUUAUUUUGAUUUUGCAGGUGAGCUUUGUUAGCAAUAUGAUUUCGGGGUUUUUCUGUUCUAUCUCUUUUUUUUUUCUUUCAUUAUCUUAUAUUUAUUUUGGUUUUGAAGGUGAUCUUCGUUAACAGUACCAUACUCUGGAUCAUAGUAAAUCACUUUAUUCUAUGAUUAGGAAUAAGCUGAGAUACUCAUCAGAUUACCCUAAUUUUAAGUUGGACACAAACCCGCUCCUUGCUGUCUAGGAAAAGAUUUUUGUUGGUGGAGGACAUUGUGAGAAAAGAUUUAGGACCUAUUUCAGAAAUUGCAGGGACAUUUGUACUAAAGUAACCAAAGACCAAUUCAUUUUUUGGAUUUUUUGCUCUACAUCAAUGCUAGAGCUUCAAAUAUGGCCGGGAGUUCAACCAAGUGCGGGAAGACUCAUUUUAAUUAUAGGGAGCGGGGAACACUGUUUAUGCAACGAUUGAUUUUUCAUAGGAGAGCAUCUAACAUUACCCAUGUUAUGGCACUCCAACUACACAAAGAUGACAGUUACAUGGAUGAACCUGGCAUGGGAUUUGUAAUUAAAAAGAAGGGAAACGCGAUUCGAAAUUUUGGGCAAUGAAGGUAUGUCAUUUGCAUGGAACAGCAUGGUUCAUAUGAAGUAACCCUGCAUCUUCUAAUGAUGUUGUUGUUUCCACCAUGUCAAUGUCGACAAGUACGUACUUCCCAAUUAGUUACUUAUCCUAAUCCAAUUAGUUCCCAAGGACAAGCCUUAUCCUUUCGUCUUCUCCAACUAGCCGCAGCAACCAUGGUAAAAAUAACAAAACCCGAAUCUCUCUUUCUGUUUAUUUUCUUAUCCUAAUCCUAUGAAUGUUGAGAUGCAUUCUUCCCUUUCUUCUGAAGAUGGUAGCAGGAUGAAUCUCAAUCUCGUAACACGCCGCACAGUUUCCGCAUCUUAAUCUUUUUAGUUUUUUUUUUUUCCUGAUAACCUUGAUAGUAUUUCAGUGAGUGAGUUUUAUAAAUUUUUGUAUUUUUUUUUAUUGAUUUUUUUCCCAGGAAACGACAAUCAAUUUCUGUGAGUUUUUAACCUCUCUAACUUUUAAUCAGUUUCCAUGAUAAAUCAACUUGACGUGGGAGUUGAUUGUUGAUUUAUUGAUUGGUUAGUGGAGAUAUAUGUAUUUACUGGAAUCAGUUGUGGACGUCCAAGCAUAAAAUCAGCACAUUAUGUUGUUAUAUGCCCUCUUAUCGCAUCUGUGCAUAGGGGCUAGGGUAUUUGGCGCUUAAGGCCACAAAAUGUUGCAACUUUGAGACCCUGGAGAGGUGGGCGUUGAAAGCAUCGCCAUUCUGUGAACAAAGAAAGCUGGCAGGAAACGGUCCUCUCUGAUAUAGGUGGCCAUCGAAAGCAGAUAUGGGACUCCGAAUGGAGGAAUUUAGACAGAGUCAGAUAGAAUGAUCUACUCUCCGAUAAAUGCGAUUGCAUUCUGCUCUAUUCAGGAAUAUCCACAACCAUUGAAUUUUAUGUACCCCUGGAUAGAGAGGGCAUGCAAAUUGUAAGGCUUCUUUCAAAGUUUUCCACGGCGAAGUGAUAGUGCCUUGAGAUAUCAGACGGGAUAAUACCUGUUUCUCCGUCGUAGCUGUUUGGCUUCAUUAUUUUGGGGGUUUACUUUAUGCUACUAUUUCUAUUGCUUCUUUGCUGCUACGAUCUUUGGCAUGGUAAUUGCAAGUUUUCUAAGUUUUUCUUUUCACUUUUCCACACAUAGCUAUUGAAUUUUUCGGCAGCUUAUGAUGAUGAAAAAACAGAUUAAUAUUAUUUUGUAAUAUUUUGAAAUACUUGCGGCAAAGUACUAUACAACUUAUUACGAGCUCUGCAACAUAAUGCAGUGUAAUGUGAUACCCUCUACUAAUGAGGCUCACAUACUAAUUUGAGCAGGAGUCAUUCUCUUGA